UUACAGCCAUAUCACAUUUGAAACACAGGUUUCCUUACGAUCACUGAAGUUAAGCAACGUCGAACCUAGUCAGUACCUAGAUGAGUGAACGCUUGGGUGUACCAGGCGAUGUAA